GAUGAAGAACGUAGCGAAAUGCGAUAAGUAAUGCGAAUUGCAGAAUUCCGUGAGUCAUCGAAUCUUUGAACGCACAUUGCGCCCCCUGGUAUUCCGGGGGGCAUGCCUGUUCGAGCGUCAUUUCACCACUCAAGCCUCGCUUGGUAUUGGGCAACGCGGUCCGCCGCGUGCCUCAAAUCGACCGGCUGGGUCUUCUGUCCCCUAAGCGUUGUGGAAACUUUCGCUAAAGGGUGUUCGGGAGGCUACGCCGUAAAACAACCCCAUUUCUAAGGUUGACCUCGGAUCAGGUAGGGAUACCCGCUGAACUUAAGCAUAUCAAUAAGCGGAGGA
rnacentral:misc_RNA from 1 species